rnacentral:lncRNA from 1 species
CUGCCCACAAGUUGGCAGUCACCUUAAGCUCUUUUGUGCACACACAGAUGUGCUUCAUGCAACUGGGUGAGGAACAUCUCUAAAACAUUUUAAUUGCCUGAACCCACGAGGCAGAGGUUGCAGUGAGCUGAGAUCAUGUCACUGCACUCCAGUCUGGGGGACAGAGUGAGACUCUGUCCCAAUAAUAAAUAAAUAAAUAAAUAAACAAAUAAAUAAAUAAUCUAGAAGUACAAUUGCUUAGCCAAAUUUCUUAUGCAUUUUGAAUGAUAAGAGUUGCUGCCUAAUUUCUGUUACAAAGGCUAUGGUAAUUUACAUUCAAAACACAGAAUAGGUUGGUUGUUGUUACAUAUGGAGUCUUACUGUUUCCGAAACUGGAGUGCAGUGGUGUAAUCCUAGCUUGUUGUAGCCUCCCACGCCUAGGCUCAAGUAAUCCUCCCACCACAGCCUCCCUCCCAAGUA